rnacentral:rRNA from 1 species
UACGUAGGGGGCUAGCGUUGUCCGGAAUCAUUGGGCGUAAAGCGCGCGUAGGCGGCCCGGUAAGUCCGCUGUAAAAGUCCAGGGCUCAACCCUGGAACGCCGGUGGAUACUGUCGGGCUAGAGUCCGGAAGAGGCGAGUGGAAUUCCUGGUGUAGCGGUGAAAUGCGCAGAUAUCAGGAGGAACACCAAUGGCGAAGGCGGCCAUCUGGACGGUGACUGACGCUCAGACGCGAAAGCG